GCUGGAUGUGGAUGUGCACAUCUGUAUUCCCAGUGACUUGGGAGGCUGAAGCAGGAGGAUUCUGAGGUCAAGGGUCAGCCUCAGCAAUUUAAUGAGACCCAGUCUAAAUAAAAAGUGCUGGGAUAUGGCUUAGUGGUAUAGGAUCUCUAGGUUCUA
rnacentral:sRNA from 1 species